rnacentral:rRNA from 1 species
AAGGGGAGGGCAAGUCGUAACACGGUAAGUGUACCGGAAGGUGCACUUGGAACAAACCCAGGAUAUGGCUGAGCUAGUCAAGCAUCUCACUUACGCCGAGAAGAUAUCCAUGCAAGUUGGAUUAUCCUGAGCCAAGCAGCUAGCUUACACAACUAACAUAACACAACGAUAUACAUAAAAUUAAAUAGACCACACACCAAAAACUAAACCAUUCUUUUACCUGAGUAUGGGAGACAGAAAAGGUUCAACCAAAAGCAAUAGAAAAAGUACCGCAAGGGAAAGCUGAAAGAGAAAUGAAAUAACCCAUAUAAGCACCAAAAAGCAAAGACUAAACCUUGUACCUUUUGCAUCAUGAUUUAGCCAGUAAACAUCAAGCAAAGAGACCUUUAGUUUGAGACCCCGAAACCAGAUGAGCUACCCCGAGACAACUUAUUAAGAGCCAACCCGUCUCUGUGGCAAAAGAGUGGGAAGAACUCCGGGUAGAAGUGACAAACCUACCGAAUCUGGUGAUAGCUGGUUGCCUAAGAAAUGAAUAGGAGUUCAGCCUCAUAUACCUCAAGCCAACUGAACUGACCUAGCACAGUACAACACAAUACAACAAGACACGAGAGAUAAAUAUGAGAGUUAAUUAAAGGGGGUACAGCCCCUUUAAUAAAGGAUACAACCUUAUUCAGGAGAAUAAAGAUCAUAAUAUGUAAAAUAUACUGCUCUAGUGGGCCUAAAAGCAGCCACCUAAACAGAAAGCGUUAAG